rnacentral:miRNA from 1 species
UAGGCUGGACUUGAACAGCCCGC